ensembl:piRNA 21ur-2747 ncRNA
UAGAUCGAAGCUCAAACUAUU